rnacentral:rRNA from 1 species
CGGGACGGGUGAGUAACGCGUGGGUAACCUGCCUUAUACAGGGGGAGUAACAGUCAGAAAUGGCUGCUAAUACCGCAUAAGCGCACAGAGCUGCAUGGCUCAGUGUGAAAAACUCCGGUGGUAUAAGAUGGACCCGCGUUGGAUUAGCUUGUUGGUGGGGUAACGGCCCACCAAGGCGACGAUCCAUAGCCGGCCUGAGAGGGUGAACGGCCACAUUGGGACUGAGACACGGCCCAGACUCCUACGGGAGGCAGCAUG